GAGCCGAAGUCAGUUGCUUAACCGAUUGAGCCACUCAUGUGCCCUGGUUUAUAUCUUUAAAAGAUUGUUCUGGCUGCUGUGGGACAAUGUAGAAUACCUGAGUGCACGUGGGAGGCCAGUGAGGAGGCAAAGCUGGUUGUCCAGGGGGAAGCAAUGGUUGCUUAAACACACAGGGGUGGUGGAGACGGGGAGCAGAAUGUGGACUUAGGAGGUAGCAUCAGUAGGAUGGGGGGAUCAGGGCAAAGGGAGUUGUCCAUGGAGACUUCCACAUUUCUGGCUUGGCCACUGGCAGGAUGGUGGCCCCACUUAGGGACACCAAGGAUGCUAACAGAAGUUCUCUGGAGGAUGAAUCCUGGAACCCGAAACCUCAGCUUGAUUUCUCUCUUGCUGCUGAGUUUCGAUCAGGCCAUAGCCAAGGCAUAGAAUAAGACAGAUGGAGUCUCAGCUCUCAUGAAGAUUGCACACCAGUUGGGGAGACAGGCAACAAUCAAGGAUACACAUAUGCAAACAAGGCCUUUGGACUCAUGCUGGAAUUAAGCCAUUGGCUCUCCUGGAUCUCCAGCCUCCUGACUCAUCCUGCAAACCUUGGGACUUGCCUGCCUCCAUAACCACUUGAGUCAGUUCCUCAUAAUAAAUCUGUG